CGUCAUUACACCCCUCAAGCGUAGCUUGGUAUUGGGCUUUCGCCCCCGCGGCGUGCCCGAAAAGCAGUGGCGGUCCGGUGCGACUUUAAGCGUAGUAAAUUUUCACCCCGCUUUGAAAGUUUGCCCCGUGGCUCGCCAGACAACCCCAUUUUACUUCAAUGAUUGACCUCGGAUCAGGUAGGGAUACCCGCUGAACUUAA
rnacentral:misc_RNA from 1 species